GCUUGUGAAUCUUGAAAUCGGGAAAGGAGAGAAACUAUAGUAUAGAAAUGGCUGACUAGACCUUAACAAUUGUGAAAUGGAGGGAAGCUUAAACAACGAGUGCUGACUGAGAAACUAGAAUCACUGGGGACUAAUGAGGGAUUUAGGGUCAUGACUCACAAUUGACCAAUGAGUUGAGAGACUGAGGUGAGGAGAAUUGAGAGGAGAUGUCCGUGAUUUAUGAAGGAGGGGAGUAGAUCCAUGGUUUUAAAUCAUGAUUG
rnacentral:misc_RNA from 1 species